rnacentral:rRNA from 1 species
UGAACGCUGGCGGCAGGCCUAAUACAUGCAAGUCGAACGGCUCUUCGGAGCAGUGGCGGACGGGUGAGUAACGCGUGGGAAUGUGCCCUUUGGUACGGAACAACACAGGGAAACUUGUGCUAAUACCGUAUGUGCCCUUCGGGGGAAAGAUUUAUCGCCAUUGGAGCAGCCCGCGUUGGAUUAGGUAGUUGGUGAGGUAAAGGCUCACCAAGCCGACGAUCCAUAGCUGGUCUGAGAGGAUGAUCAGCCACACUGGGACUGAGACACGGCCCAGACUCCUACGGGAGGCAGCAGUAGGGAAUCUUGCGCAAUGGGCGAAAGCCUGACGCAGCCAUGCCGCGUGUAUGAUGAAGGUCUUAGGAUUGUAAAAUACUUUCACCGGGGAAGAUAAUGACGGUACCUGACUAAGAAGCCCCGGCUAACUACGUGCCAGCCGCCGCAGUAAUAC